GAGUUUGAUCCUGGCUCAGGAUGAACGCUGGCGGCGUGCCUAACACAUGCAAGUCGAACGAAGCGCCUUUUAAGAUUCUUCGGAUGAUUGAUUGGUGACUGAGUGGCGGACGGGUGAGUAACGCGUGGGUAACCUGCCCUGUACAGGGGGAUAACAGUUGGAAACGGCUGCUAAUACCGCAUAAGCGCACGAAGAGACAUCUCCUAGUGUGAAAAACUCCGGUGGUACAGGAUGGGCCCGCGUCUGAUUAGCUGGUUGGCAGGGUAACGGCCUACCAAGGCAACGAUCAGUAGCCGGUCUGAGAGGAUGAACGGCCACAUUGGGACUGAGACACGGCCCAGACUCCUACGGGAGGCAGCAGUGGGGGAUAUUGCACAAUGGGGGAAACCCUGAUGCAGCGACGCCGCGUGGAGGAAGAAGGUUUUCGGAUUGUAAACUCCUGUCGUUAGGGACGAUAAUGACGGUACCUAACAAGAAAGCACCGGCUAACUACGUGCCAGCCGCCGCGGUAAUAC
rnacentral:rRNA from 1 species